GUCCUGAAGCUAAUUGCCUUUGAUAUCUCCGGUCAUCCUUGUCUACAGCAAUGGCCUCCAUGAAAGCAGAAAGACCUCAAGGUUCCUCUCAGGCACCCAGGGUUCAGCAACCCAAGUCUGCAGGGGCGAAGCCAGCUACCACGAAGAAGGUGGCGCAGAAACCACAGGAACCGAAGAAGGUCACAGGUACUGCUAAGCCAACUCCACCUGCGAAGUGAUCCUCUUGCUGUCAUCAUGGAUGUCGCAAACAUACUAUACCUAUGGAAUAAGACGGAUGUAAGCGUUGUCAUGUAUGGAAUCUAAGAUAUAUAACAGUGAUAUAGUUUGGAGUCA